rnacentral:lncRNA from 1 species
UGAAAACGCAUCACACGGUAUGGCUGACAUAUAUAAAUGUUGAUACCAAAUUACAGAAAGGGUGGAUGUGUAGUUCCUGAGAAAAAUGUGACGAAAGUACAUGGGACGGACUGACUGACGGACUGACGGACUGACGGACUGAUGGACGGACUGAUGGACGGACUGACGGACGGACAGACAGAGGUAAAACAGUAUACCCCCCCUUUUUUAAAGCGGGGGUAUAAAAAGA